rnacentral:rRNA from 1 species
GCCAGACUCCUACGGGAGGCAGCAGUGAGGAAUAUUGGUCAAUGGGCGCGAGCCUGAACCAGCCAAGUCGCGUGAGGGAUGACGGCCCUACGGGUUGUAAACCUCUUUUGUCGGGGAGCAAAGAGAGUCACGUGUGGCUCAUUGAGAGUACCCGAAGAAAAAGCAUCGGCUAACUCCGUGCCAGCAGCCGCGGUAAUACGGAGGAUGCGAGCGUUAUCCGGAUUUAUUGGGUUUAAAGGGUGCGCAGGCGGGGGUGCAAGUCAGUGGUCAAAUUGCGGGGCUCAACCCCGUACUGCCGUUGAAACUGCAUCCCUUGAGUGCGCGAGAAGUAUGCGGAAUGCGUGGUGUAGCGGUGAAAUGCAUAGAUAUCGCGCAGAACUCCGAUUGCGAAGGCAGCAUGCCGGCUCCACACUGACGCUGAGGCACGAAGGCGUGGGUAUCGAACAGGAUUAGAUACCCCCGUAGUC